rnacentral:rRNA from 1 species
CCUACGGGUGGCAGCAGUGAGGAAUAUUGGUCAAUGGACGAGAGUCUGAACCAGCCAAGUAGCGUGAAGGAUGACUGCCCUAUGGGUUGUAAACUUCUUUUAUAUGGGAAUAAAGUGUUCCACGUGUGGGAUUUUGUAUGUACCAUAUGAAUAAGGAUCGGCUAACUCCGUGCCAGCAGCCGCGGUAAUACGGAGGAUACGAGCGUUAUCCGGAUUUAUUGGGUUUAAAGGGAGCGUAGGUGGAUUUUUAAGUCAGUUGUGAAAGUUUGCGGCUCAACCGUAAAAUUGCAGUUGAAACUGGCAGUCUUGAGUACAGUAGAGGUGGGCGGAAUUCGUGGUGUAGCGGUGAAAUGCUUAGAUAUCACGAAGAACUCCGAUUGCGAAGGCAGUUCACUGGACUGCAACUGACACUGAGGCUCGAAAGUGUGGGUAUCAAACAGGAUUAGAUACCCCUGUAGUC